ACUGUCUAUUCAGCCCCUGACUGCUGCUCAAGAGGGGUAGGAUGCAGGUGGGGUCUGUCUACUGAUUCCUCCUGUGAUAGAUGAUGAAGUAAUUGCUACCCCGGGGUCUGCACACCAGUGGAAGACACUCAGAUUACUUGUGGCUGAUUUGAUCAAACUGGCUUCCUGAACUGGAAUGAAACGCAGAUAAGACGUUAGAAAACUUUUAUAAGCAAAGUGUCUUGUGUGAUAAGAACAAAGCCAUUUUAUAAUCAGAUUUACAAAGCUGAGAACGAGUUCCAGGCAAACGGAAGCUGCAGUGUUCUGUCACCAGGAAACACUGCAUUUUCCAGAAUCGGAGCCUAGUUUAUUUCUGUUCUUCCUUCAUCAUUGUCCCAAAACUUUUAUGAAGGACUUUCCAGUCUCAGUAGAAUUUGAACAUUUUAUUGUGUUUCAACAUCUCACUCCAUUAUUAGUUCCCUGAAAGCUCGCCCUAGAAUUUACUGGACUGUCCACUACUGCUGACCAUCCCUUCUGAAAGCAGAAAAGCAUCUGUGUGUUGGAAUGAGAAGAAUUUUAGUUGAGGAGCUCAAGCAUGACUUUUCAUGGUGAAAGGAAAAAGAGAAUGGAACUUGCUUCUAAGAAACUCAAGUUUUAUAAUAUGGUUUGUUUGCCUACUCUUUUGGUAAAUAAAUUUACACUUAUGAAUAUUUUUAGAAAGUAGAAAUUGAAGCUAAAAUUCUCAGUGGAGGAAUAGUUUUAAAGGGGGAUUUAUUAAUUAUUAUAUAAACUAGAGAUUUUUAGUAAGAAAUCAUGUAUUUUACAUUAAUGUGUUUAAAAAAUGGAAAAGGAGUAAAAGUGAUAUAAAGAUCAAUGUCUAUGUAAUUAACUAAUUGCUAAUGAUGGUAAUAUAAUUUGUUUUUGUCAUCUUCUGCUGAAUUCAAUAAAAAUGAAGCUAA